UACGUAGGUUCCAAGCGUUACCCGGUUUUAUUGGGCGUAAAGCGUCUGUAGGUUGUUUGAUAAGUCUUGUUUCAAAGACCCCAGCUUAACUGGGGGCAGGGGCAGGAUACUGUCAGACUAGAGUGAUAUCGGGGUUACUGGAAUUUUUAGUGUAGGGGUUAAAUCCGUGGAUACUAAAAAGAACACCAAGCGCGAAGGCGGGUAACCAGGUAUAUACUGACACUCAGAGACGAAAGCUAGGGUAGCCAAUCAG
rnacentral:rRNA from 1 species